GUAAACCUUUUGUUUUGAUGAUAAAUUCAACAUUCAUCGUAGAGAUGUCACAUCUCUGGGAAUUUCUAACGUUUUGUUUUAUUUUGAAAAUUAUAUAUAUAUGUAUAUAUGUUACAGGAAAUCAUUGUAAUUGGCGUUCUCACAUGUAAUUUGAAGCAGUGUAGUAAUUACAUGUAAUCCCUAGAUAUUGGAAAGGAUUUCAUGAAAUCCUUAGAAUUUUGACCUAAAAUUAUACAUAUUCCCUAACCCUAAAACAUGAAUUUAAUGUUAGGAAUGGGAUUACAUGAAUUCAUCAAAAUUAGUAGGAAUUCCAUGUAAUCCUUUAUUACGCUUAUUUACUGUAACAUAUAUAAAAAAGAUUCUACCAAUAUUUUUUGUUAUUGUAUUAUCUAUUCUUGCUUUAAACACACGUAUAAUACAAUAUUAUAAUUAUUUCUCGUACCUUUUGAUAGUAUUUUGUGAAUGGUAAACAUGUAGAGAUGUCAUUGAGUAGAAGUUACAAAAGUUACAAAGGCAAGCAAUUCAUUAUAAAUGUCUUCACUGGGAGAAACCUAUAUCAUAUUUUUCAACAUCUAAGUUGAUUUCAGUUACAAUUCAAAUUGAAUUCUUACAGUGGAUUGAUAUUCCACAGAAG
rnacentral:lncRNA from 1 species